rnacentral:rRNA from 1 species
GUGGGGAAUAUUGGACAAUGGGCGAAAGCCUGAUCCAGCAAUGCCGCGUGAGUGAAGAAGGCCUUCGGGUUGUAAAGCUCUUUUACCCGGGAAGAUAAUGACUGUACCGGGAGAAUAAGCCCCGGCUAACUCCGUGCCAGCAGCCGCGGUAAUACGGAGGGGGCUAGCGUUGUUCGGAAUUACAGGGCGUAAAGCGCACGUAGGCGGUCUUUUAAGUCAGAGGUGAAAGCCCGGGGCUCAACUCCGGAAUUGCCUUUGAAACUGGGAGACUUGAACACGGGAGAGGUGAGUGGAAUUCCGAGUGUAGAGGUGAAAUUCGUAGAUAUUCGGAGGAACACCAGUGGCGAAGGCGGCUCACUGGACCGUUGUUGACGCUGAGGUGCGAAAGCGUGGGGAGCAAACAGGAUUAGAAACCCUUGUAGUCC